rnacentral:rRNA from 1 species
UACGUAGGGUGCGAGCGUUGCCCGGAUUUAUUGGGCGUAAAGAGCUCGUAGGCGGUUCGGUAAGUCGGGUGUGAAACCUCCAGGCUCAACCUGGAGAGGCCACCUGAUACUGCUGUGACUCGAGUCCGGUAGGGGAGCGUGGAAUUCCUGGUGUAGCGGCGAAAUGCGCAGAUAUCAGGAGGAACACCAGCGGCGAAGGCGGCGCUCUGGGCCGGAACUGACGCUGAGGAGCGAAAGCGUGGGUAGCAAACAGG